rnacentral:SRP_RNA from 1 species
GCCAGGCAUAGUAGCGCAAGCCUGUAAUCCCAGCUACUCAGGAGGCUGAGACAGGAGAAUUGCUUGAGCCCGGGAGGCGGAGGUUGCAGUGAGCUGAGAUCAUGCCACUGCACUCUAGCCUGGGUGACAGAGCAAGACUCUGUCUCAA